AACCCUUUCAACUCCUACUUGAUUUACUUUCAAGGGACUUGGUUAUGGUGGAAGAGGAGAGUCUAACAUCUGUAAGGAUUCCUCCUCCCCAUCAAAAUUCUAUGGCGGGUCCGUACCCAUCCUCUGUUGAAGUGAGGCGUUGUAAAAGCUGUCAAGCACUUUUCGCCAACCAGCAGUUGGGAACGUUUGGGCUCAUUGCCGUUAUCGAAAACCCCCCUCAAAA
rnacentral:misc_RNA from 1 species